AACGAACGCUGGCGGCAUGCCUAACACAUGCAAGUCGAACGAGACCUUCGGGUCUAUUGGCGCACGGGUGCGUAACGCGUGGGAACCUGCCCUUAGGUUCGGAAUAACUCCCCGAAAGGGGUGCUAAUACCGGAUAAUUUCUUCGGACCAAAGAUUUAUCGCCUUUGGAUGGGCCCGCGUUGGAUUAGCUAGUUGGUAGGGUAAAAGCCUACCAAGGCGACGAUCCAUAGCUGGUCUGAGAGGAUGAUCAGCCACACUGGGACUGAGACACGGCCCAGACUCCUGCGGGAGGCAGGAGUGGGGAAUAUUGGAAAGUGGGCGAAAGCAUGAUCCAGCAAGGCGGCGUGAGUGAUGAAGGCCUUAGGGUUGUAAAGCUCUUUUACCCGGGAUGAUAAUGACAGUACCGGGAGAAUAAGCUCCGGCUAACUCCGUG
rnacentral:rRNA from 1 species